UUGGAGGGCAAGUCUGGUGCCAGCAGCCGCGGUAAUUCCAGCUCCAAUAGCGUAUAUUAAAGUUGUUGCAGUUAAAAAGCUCGUAGUUGAAUUUCGGGGUCAGUAGGUUGGUCAUGCCACAGGUAUGUACUGAUCUCACUGAUUCCUCCUUCCUGAUGAACUGUAAUGCCAUUAAUUUGGUGUUGCAGGGAAUCUGGACUGUUACUUUGAAAAAAUUAGAGUGUUUAAAGCAGGCUUAGCCUGAGUACAUUAGCAUGGAAUAAUGAAAUAGGACGUUCGAUCCUAUUUUGUUGGUUUCUAGGAUUGACGUAAUGAUUAAUAGGGAUAGUUGGGGGCAUUAGUAUUCAAUUGUCAGAGGUGAAAUUCUUGGAUUUAUUGAAGACUAACUACUGCGAAAGCAUUUGCCAAGGAUGUUUUCAUUAAUCAAGAACGAAAGUUAGGGGAUCGAAGACGAUCAGAUACCGUCGUAGUCUUAACCAUAAACUAUGCCGACUAGGGAUCGGAUGAUGUUAAUUUUUUAAUGACUCAUUCGGCGCCUUACGGGAAAC
rnacentral:rRNA from 1 species